rnacentral:lncRNA from 1 species
AGACUCACAGGAUCAGACUUCAAAGUCAGGGACUAGCAGGUGCACUUCUCAAGGGCUGUGAAGAAGCUGCAAGGGACAGAUGACAAAGGGACAAGAUACCUAAUUCACAUGGAUUCUGAACAGGCCGAGGUUCUGAGGCUGAACACUGGCAAGGCCUGAUUUGCCUUUUAGUGGGACCAUGCCUUGCCAUCCAAGAGAGGAAAAAUGCAGGACAUGAGAGAACAAGACAGAACCAGAAGGGGGAGUCCAAGAAAAGAGUGCGAUUGGUACUUACCGCAAACAUAAGAGUCACAGGUUUCCAGUACCAUCCCGGACAUAUGAAGAGUCCCACAUGGGUUUGCCAAACCUCAGCGGCUACUCCUGUGCUUCACCCUGCGGUAGGGCCAGCUUGGGCCAUGUUAGUCUCUUCACAUGAUGUUGCUGCCCCUCCUUGUGGCCUAAUCAUGGAUCACCGUGUGGUAGAGAAGUGAGCUCUGGACCAUCAGGCUCAGAAGGGUCACUGCAAGCAAGCAAGAGAAUUGUUCUGCAAAGAUGCAGGUUUGAAGGUACAAUUUAUCACCAAGGGGAGUCGUGGCAGCAGCACCCUGAGGCAACUGGUCACAUUGCAUCCAAAGUCAAGAAUCAGAGAGAAGAAUCCUAGUGGCCAUGCUUUCUCCCUUCUGUCUGGAACUCAAGACUAUGGAAUAAUGGCUUCUGGAAUCCAUUUUGUCCGUAGAGUGGAUAGAAGCCCCUGAAUCGUAUUUCUGGAGGCAGCCCUACCCAGCCACUGCCAGGAAAUUACCAAGCAUGUCCUGAAGAUGAAGAUACUCUCAGCCUAACGUCUCCAAGCAAAUAUUGAUUCAGCAGUAUCCCCAGGCAAAGCCACACCAUAUAUCAGUGAACAGAGAAACAACUGCCCUUCUCCGGGCCCCUGUCUGAGAAGCUGGAGCAUCAGCCCUGGAGCUCUCCGGAGCAGUUUCCUUGCUCACUGUCCCCAGCUGAACACAGCCGCAUGCAGAGGUCCAAAGCACGUAAACAGGAUACCCACCCUGCAUUAUCUUAUAUUUUAAGUCAAUAUGAAGAUGGACAUUCUACCCCUGAGACCAAUUUCGAUCAAAUACUUUUGUCAAUAAAAAGAUACUAAUG